GACGAACGCUGGCGGCGUGCCUAAUACAUGCAAGUCGAACGGAAAGGCCCUGCUUUUGUGGCGUGCUCGAGUGGCGAACGGGUGAGUAACACGCGAGUAACCUGCCCUUGUCUUUGGGAUAACUUCAGGAAACUGGGGCUAAUACCGGAUAGGAGCUCCUGCUGCAUGGUGGGGGUUGGAAAGUGUCGGCGGUUGGGGCUAGAUUCGCGGCUUAUCAGCUUGUUGGUGGGGUAGUGGCUGACCAAGGGUUUGACGGGUAGCCGGCCUGGGAGGGGGACCGGGGACCAUGGGACUACGGGAGGCCGCAGUAUGGAACCUGAGGCAGUGGGGGAAAGUCUUACGCAGUAGGGGCGAGCCAGUUACGACGGCGUCGGGUGCGGAAUGACGGGCUUUGAGUGAAGAACCACUGUCGACUGUGACGAAGCGUGAGUGACGGUAACGGAUAAGAAAGCACCGGCUAACUACGUG
rnacentral:rRNA from 1 species